rnacentral:rRNA from 1 species
AAAUCCCGACUUCUGGAAGGGACGUAUUUAUUAGAUAAAAGCGCCCGCCUGGCUCUGCGUGAGUCGCGGUGAAUCAUGAUAUCUUCACGAAUCGCACGGCCUCCGCGCCGGCGAUGUUUCAUUCAAAUUUCUGCCUUAUCAACUUUCGAUGGUAGAGAUAGAGGCCUACCAUGGUGGUAACGGGUGACGGAGGAUUAGGGUUCGAUUCCGGAGAGGGAGCCUGAGAAACGGCUUACCUCACAUCCAAGGAAGGCAGCAGGCGCGACUAUUUACCCUAAUCCCGACACGGGGGAGGUAGUGACAAUAAAUAACCAAUUGCGGGCAUUUAAUGUCUGGUAAUUGGAAUGAGAACAAUCUAAAUUCCCUUAACGAAAGCCAUUGGAGGGCAAGUCUGGUGCCAGCAGCCGCGGUAAUUCCAGCUCCAAUAGCGUAUAUUUAAGUUGUUGCAGUUAAAAAGCUCGUAGUUGGAUUUCGGGUAGGUUCCAGCGGUCCGCCUCUGGUGAGUACUGCUGUGGCUUUCCUUUCUGCCGGGGACGGGCUCCUGGCUUUAACUGUCCGGGACUCGGAGUCGGCGAGGUUACUUUGAGUAAAUUAGAGUGUUCAAAGCAGGCGUUCGCUAUGAAUACAUUAGCAUGGAAUAACACGAUAGGACUCUGGCCUAUCUUGUUGGUCUGUAGGACCGGAGUAAUGAUUAAGAGGGACAGUCGGGGGCAUUCGUAUUUCAUUGUCAGAGGUGAAAUUCUUGGAUUUAUGAAAGACGAACUUCUGCGAAAGCAUUUGCCCAAGGAUGUUUUCAUUAAUCAAGAACGAAAGUUGGGGGCUCGAAGACGAUUAGAUACCGUCGUAGUCUCAACCAUAAACGAUGCGGACUAGGGAUUGGGCGGGCGUUCCGUUGAUGACCCCGCCAGCACCCUUAUGAGAAAUCAAAGUCUUUGGGUUCCUGCGGGGGGAGAUAUGUGUCGCAAGGGUGAACCUUAAUGGAAUUGUACGGAAGGGCACCACCAGGCGCUGGAGCCUGCGCGCUUAAUUUGAUCUCAACACGGGAAAACUUACCAGGUCCAGACACGGGAAGGAGUUGACAGAUUGAGAGCUCUUUCUUGAUUCUGUGGGUGGUGGUGCAUGGCCGUUCUUAGUUGGUGGGUUGCCUUGUCUGCGCUUGAUUCCGGUAACGAACGAGACCUCAGCCUGCUAAAUAGUCACGGCUACUUUUUGUAGCCGCCGGACUUCUUAGAGGGACUAUUGUCGUUUAGGCAAUGGAAGUGUGAGGCAAUAACAGGUCUGUGAUGCCCUUAGAUGUUCUGGGCCGCACGCGCGCUACACUGAUGC